CAUCCGAUAACAAGUGUUGGAU
rnacentral:miRNA from 2 species